rnacentral:ncRNA from 1 species
AGAAGUAGAGGCGCACCAAAUAUCAGUAGUGAUCAGUAGGGUGAUUCCGUUGAUCGUUCACGAAAGGAUUUGGUGCCGAAGUAGUUUGAUUUAUCACGAUCAACUGCUGGGGUUGUGUCUAAUAGGUACAACACUGCCAUAGUAUUUCCAGAUACGGAUAUUAGGAAUAGUUACUAUGGAGCGCUACUGA